rnacentral:rRNA from 1 species
CCUACGUGGUGCAGCAGUGGGGAAUAUUGCGCAAUGGGCGAAAGCCUGACGCAGCGACGCCGCGUGAGGGAUGAAGGUCUUCGGAUCGUAAACCUCUGUCAGCAGGGAAGAACGGUCACUGUGCUAAUCAGCAGUGAAUUGACGGUACCUGCAAAGGAAGCACCGGCUAACGCCGUGCCAGCAGCCGCGGUAAUACGGAGGGUGCGAGCGUUAAUCGGAAUUACUGGGCGUAAAGCGCUCGUAGGCGGUAUGUCAAGUCAAGGGUGAAAUCCCCGCGCUCAACGUGGGAACUGCCUUUGAAACUGGCAAACUGGAGUGUGUGAGAGGAUAGUGGAAUUCCAGGUGUAGGAGUGAAAUCCGUAGAUAUCUGGAGGAACAUCAGUGGCGAAGGCGACUAUCUGGCACAUAACUGACGCUGAGGAGCGAAAGCGUGGGUAGCAAACAGGAUUAGAUACCCUAGUAGUC